AAGGUGAGCAGGCCUGCAUCUGUGGGCCAUGACCCCAUAAGCCAGAAGGUGAGCAGGCCUGCAUCUGUGGGCCAUGACCCCAUAAGGCAGAAGGUGAGCAGGCCUGCAUCUUGGGCCAUUGCCCCAUAAGGCAGAAGUGGGAAAACCUGGCCCAUUGAGGGUCGCAAGGUGGCCUGGUUCUCAUGUUGCCUUCAACCUCCCUGCCACUAACUCAUUGCAGGUAUAUUUUAUGACACCUUCACAUAGAAUUCUACGCCUCUCAGGCCACAGCCGGUGCUGGUUUUCACCGUAGCUGAGCAGUAGUCACCGCCUUUACCCUGCUGUUAUGCUGACAGUCCUGCUCACCGUGACAGGUGGCCGCCCCAGAGAUCGCCAUGAUCAAAGCUGUGUGCCCCAGCAUGGCCCUGAAGGUCAUCGAUCGGGCCAUCCAGGCCUUUGGGGCUGCAGGCCUGAGUAACGACCACCCAUUGGCGCUGUUGUACAGCUGGGCCCGAGCCCUACGCCUUGCGGACGGGCCAGACGAGGUCCAUCAGGCUAGCGUGGCCAAGAUGGAGCUAAAGCGGCAAUACUGAAGCUGACGCAGUGCCCCCACCCCCCGUUUUCUAAUGAUGAAACACCACAAGUGCGGCUGGUCAUGUGAUCAGACCCCCUCAGGUGCUUGCGGUGUGAUCAUUUCACAGAGACACAAAGCUGCUUACAUGAAUAUGAAUCCACCCCCAGUAGGUUGUAAUCAACAUGCUUUUCUUUAAAGGGUUAAUUUCUUAAAACUGCAAAGUAUAAUGAUUGAGUGAGUGUCAAAAUAUUACUGGAAAAUGUAAGUCGUAAAUCACAUUAAAAAAUGAACUUUGCUAUGAA